rfam:Tncultured Thiohalocapsa sp. PB-PSB1 scaffold_4829, whole genome shotgun sequence.
CCCGUGUUUCGCCACGGAAUCCUACCGGAGCGUGCAUUGGGAGUAACCCCUUUGUGCGGAGCCUCUGGGAGAAACGUAGUCCUUGGUGAAGUAUGCCACAAGAACGAACCGCGAGGGGAGUUCAAGUCUGCCAGCCUCAGGCGGAGGGAUGC